ACGGCCAUACCAUGCUGAAUAUACCUUAUAUAUAUACCUCGUUAGAUCACCGAAGUCAAGCAUCAUUAUGCGCGGUCAGUACUUGGGCGGGUGACCACCUGGGAACACCGCGUGCCGUU